rnacentral:misc_RNA from 1 species
AGUUUGGAAUCGGUUUCCAGGCAGACAGAAUAUUCUUGAAAUUUGGUUAUAGAUUGGGUCCGAUCAGAUUGCUGUGCUGUAGAACAUUGUUGUGAACCAUAUGAGUCACUGAGAUUUCUCUCUCUAAUUUGCAGGAACUGUCAGUCAGCCUGGAGAAUAAAGGAGGGAACAUUCCACUGCGAGUGGAACUUCCUCCACAGAAGAUGGAUACAGAGAAUCCCAAGGUUCUGGAGUUGGAGCAGGGCCUGGAUAAACCACAGCUUAAUAUUGAGGAGUUUGAGUGUGGUGUGCAUUUUGAAGGACUUGAGAAGAACAAGCAGGAAUGGUCGUUUACUCUCUACGAUUUUGAUGGGCAUGGAAAAAUUACCAGAGAGGACCUAUCAAGUUUGCUGAAAGCUCUGCACGAUGCUGUAGGAUCGUCAAUUAAGAUCCCUUCCAAUGGGACCAAGACCCUCAAACUGAGGCUUACAGUGGGACAAGACAACACGCAACUGCCCGAAAACAAGUCUCCCUCCAAGGGCAAAAAGGAAAGGUCAAGGACAGUGAUAAGGUGAAGGUCAAGGAUAGUGAUAAGGUGAAGGAAGUUCCUAAAUCAAAAGAGUUUGCAAAACUCAACAAUAACCUGACAGCCACUCAUGUACAGUUGCCUGCCAAGCAGUGCAAUAGUGACUUACAAGAAAGGGUAAAAGGACAAUGUCAGAACUCCUGUCAGGUCAAAGGUCAUAACCCCUGCACGGCCCAGAGUCAGGAUUUUCUGUGUUCAGGAUCCAAGAGAAUUCAGCUGACCUCUCAGGAAAGGCAGCAGCUUGUGGAACUGGUUCAGGAAAACAUGGAGAGAAACCAUGUGAAACAGCUCAGACGACAUCAUAGUGACUGUCGAGGAACGACGACACACGAGCACUCGCACCACAAACGACGCCACAGGGUUCACUGUACCAACGUGGUGACAUGCAACAAUCAAACCAGCACGGCGACACCCGCCAACAACAACCCCAACCCCAAUAAUCAGGAGGAACGGGCGAAAGAAUGCCAGGACAGGCGCAACUACUACCUCGACCUAGCCGGGAUUGAGCACAAUGCCAAACCUCAGUCCUCAGCACAGAACCUCAACAACAGCGUUGGACAAUCAGCACGAACCGCAGCGGACCACUUGCGGUCCAAGAGUCAGGAAACCAGCAAGAAAUGUGAUAACCUCCAGCGCGAGUCACAGAGAAUCAAACAACAGCAUUUGGACAGUGUCAAGACUGAGCAUUUAAGGUCAAGGUCAUUUGACCCCCAGGAGGUGGAGACCAAGUCACCAAAGGGACACCACAAGGGCUCCUCACCGCACAAGCACGGACGGUUUCGCCCAGUGAGUCUGCCAGUGCAUGUGCCUGAUUCAAUGUCCCAUUAUCACCGGCGUCAUCGCCACAGAGACAAAGAUCACGACCUUGCAAUGCAGCAGGUCGCGGAGUGGAUAGAGCGUGAACACGCGUGUGAGGUGGUGGAUGGGGACAAAAUAGUGGUUCAAAAGCACGAACACCACCACUUCCACGAGCAUCACCACCAUCACCAUUAUCAUCAUUAUUAUGAGGCAUGAACAAGUCACUGGAAUCCAUUUGAGUAUUGUUAUGUUACUUUUAGAGUUUAAUUUAAAAUCUUAAUGAAUUUCUCUUUUCCCUUGCAUUUUCCUCGACAUGAUUUUUUCCCUUUUUUUUUUUAACUGUUUGGCCUUGUGAUUUGUUAUGUUAUUUUUUUUUUCUCCCUCCUCUUCUUCUAAUGCUCAGAGUCGGGAGAGAAAAUGCCUGGCCAGUGAAAUGUAUGUUCUUGAAAUGUUUUCAUGUGAUAAAUCAUGUCCUCUUAUUGUAUAUAAUUUUGUUUAAAAUACUCAGUCUCACAUCCAUGCCUGUACAUUCAUCAAUCUUUUUCCCUUGUAGGGAAAACUUAAUUUCUCUUUGCUUUAUGCUGGUUCAUAUGCUUACAUCAUGAAAUACCAGACUCAUUUUUUUUGUUGGCAUUCAAAACAAUAGUUUUCAUUUCAUACAUUCAUAAAUUCUUUGAUCUGGUUUUUUUCCCCCUGCAUAUUUAUGUGUAAAUAAAUGUUAUUAUUAGUUCAUUUAGUAUUCAGUUUAACAAAAAUGGCAAAUAAUUUUGAAAUGUACAAAAAACAUUUUUAGUGGUUUUUUCUUUUCAUUUUCAAAUAAAAUGUCAAAUAUUAUAAACAAUCAGCUCUGUUUGCUAUAGGAAGUUCAAUAUAAAGGAGGGGUUAUUUUUUUUUUUUUGGCCCGUUAUCUGUGAAACAUAUUGAGUGUCUCUGAAAGAUGAAUGGCUGAUAUCGAGUGUGUAUGUUUACGUAGAUCUGAUAUUUUUGAUUCUUAACUGUAUGGAGAUGGCUCCUUUUUUAUCGAGCUUUUUUUUGUCUGGGAGAAGAUAAAAGAUGUACCAAAUGGGACUUGAUAUCUCGCACUGAAUACCUGUUUCUUUUAUUUCAGCGAUAAAAAUACAUUUACCAGGCCAAGUAAAUGUUACAUUUUUUUUGGUAGUUCUAAUAUUUCUUUCCAUUGAUGCUUUUGAUGAGAUGUAACUCGAUUUAUGAAUUUUGGAUCUAGAACAUUUUCAUGUAGAUAAAAAGAAAUGUUUUCCCUCGUAAUACAUCUAUAUAAAAGAUAAAAAUUAGAGCUGCAUGUGUUUGAUGGAAACCAUGCAAAGUAAGAGGCAAAAAAAGCUGUCUGAAAUUUCUGAAAAUAACUGGUAUUUGGAAAUUCUGGCAUUUUUUUUUUGGGGGGGGGGGGGGGGGUUGACAAAGUACAGAGAAUGAUGUAUACAUUUAUCUAUUACUGGUGGGCAUGACGUUUGAGUGACCGAGUGAAUGUGACCUUGAACUUGACCAGACAAUGAGAUUGACCUGUCCUUAACCUACCUCAGCCAAUGAUGUAACUCGCACACCUGUGCGUGGAAAUGUACAAAUAUGAUCCGUUAGUCAUAACUGUAUACACAUAUAUUUUGUUCUUAUUUUUUUUUUCGUCUGCAAAGGGCAAUUUAUCUUAAAACAUAUUGUAUGAAUCUCAUUGGAAUAUCUCCUCACCCUCGAUUUUUGGUGCUGAUUAAGCUGAAAUUUCAGACUUUUAUUGCAGAAAAAAUGGACAAAAAUAUGGACAUGUAACAAGAUGCAGUUUUUUACUGAUGCAGUUUCGAGUACCUUUGCUGAUGGUACCUUUAUAAGUAUCAAUGUUUCUGAGAAAAACUUUUUGAUGGACGAUGUGUGUAAAAUCUUUUUUUUGUUAAGAUUACAAUGGUAUUGUUAUAUAUCACCCUUUUUUGUGGAAAUGUUGAAAUAAAAUUUAUGAAAUC